ensembl:snoRNA
GCUGCCACUAGAGGCGAUGCAGCGUGACAUCACCGUGUUGUGUCUGUCUGUCAUUAGCUGGCUGAGAGAAAGGCGCCACGUGUCACCAAGUUGUCCUAGCACUGUGGGCACUUUGAGUUUUGUGGCACAACAUG